UACGUAGGUGGCAAGCGUUAUCCGGAUUUAUUGGGCGUAAAGGGAACGCAGGCGGUCUUCUAAGUCUGAUGUGAAAGCCUUCGGCUUAACCGGAGUAGUGCAUUGGAAACUGGGAGACUUGAGUGCAGGAGAGGAGAGUGGAACUCCAUGUGUAGCGGUGAAAUGCGUAGAUAUAUGGAAGAACACCAGUGGCGAAAGCGGCUCUCUGGUCUGUAACUGACGCUGAGGUUCGAAAGCGUGGGUAGCAAACAGG
rnacentral:rRNA from 1 species